UACGUAGGGUGCAAGCGUUAAUCGGAAUUACUGGGCGUAAAGCGUGCGCAGGCGGCUUUGCAAGACAGAUGUGAAAUCCCCGGGCUUAACCUGGGAACUGCAUUUGUGACUGCAAGGCUAGAGUACGGUAGAGGGGGAUGGAAUUCCGCGUGUAGCAGUGAAAUGCGUAGAUAUGCGGAGGAACACCGAUGGCGAAGGCAGGUCUCUGGGCUGACACUGACGCUCAUGCACGAAAGCGCGGGGAGCAAACAGG
rnacentral:rRNA from 1 species